rnacentral:rRNA from 1 species
ACGGGAGGCAGCAGUGGGGAAUGUUGGGCAAUGGGCGCAAGCCUGACCCAGCAACGCCGCGUGAAGGAAGAAGGCUUUCGGGUUGUAAACUUCUUUUGUCGGGGACGAGUAGAAGACGGUACCUGACGAAUAAGCCACGGUUAACUACGUGCCAGCAGCCGCGGUAAUACGUAGGUGGCAAGCGUUGUCCGGACUUACUGGGUGUAAAGGGCGUGUAGCCGGGUCGGCAAGUCAGAUGUGAAAUCCACGGGCUUAAGUCGUGAACUGCAUUUGAAACUGUUGAGCUUGAGUAUCGGAGAGGCAAUCGGAAUUCCUAGUGUAGCGGUGAAAUGCGUAGAUAUUAGGAGGAACACCAGUGGCGAAGGCGGAUUGCUGGACGACAACUGACGGUGAGGCGCGAAAGCGUGGGGAGCAAACAGGAUUAGAUACCCUGGUA